UCCUACGGGAGGCAGCAGUUAGGAAUUUUGGGCAAUGGGCGGAAGCCUGACCCAGCAACGCCGCGUGGGUGAUGAAGGCCCUCGGGUCGUAAAGCCCUUUUCCCAGGGAAGAUGGUGACGGUACCUGGGGAAUCAGCCCCGGCUAACUACGUG
rnacentral:rRNA from 1 species